GAGCGAUGAUGUUUCAUGCCUUUCUGGUGGAGGGGUUCAUCAGUCUUGUCUGAUCUACAAGUGAAGACAUUGUAGGCCUUUCUGAGCUC